UCGUAACAAGGUAGCCGUAGUAGUUUGUUCCUGGCUCACGGGUGCGUAACACGGAGGCCACCUGCCCGUAAGACCGGGAUAACUACCGGAAACGGUAGCUAAUACCGGAUAAUUUAUCGCUUCGCAUGGAGCGGUAAUGAAAGACGGAGCAAUCUGUCACUUACGGAUGGGCCUGCGGCGCAUUAGCUAGUUGGUGAGGUAACGGCUCACCAAGGCGACGAUGCGUAGCCGACCUGAAAGGGUGAACGGCCACACUGGGACUGAAACACGGCCCAAACUCCUACGGGAGGCAGCAGUAGGGAAUCUUCCGCAAUGGGCGAAAGCCUGACGGAGCAACGCCGCGUGAGUGAUGAAGGUUUUCGGAUCGUAAAGCUCUGUUGCCAGGGAAGAACGUCGGGUAAAGUAACUGCUAUCCGAGUGACGGUACCUGAAAAGAAAGCCCCGGCUAACUACGUGCCAGCAGCCGCGGUAAUACGUAGGGGG
rnacentral:rRNA from 1 species